GACGAACGCUGGCGGCAUGCCUAAUACAUGCAAGUCGAGCGAACAGAUGAAGUGCUUGCGCUUCUGACGUUAGCGGCGAACGGGUGAGUAACACGUAAGGAAUCUACCUAUAAGCGGGGGAUAACAUUCGGAAACGGGUGCUAAUACCGCAUAAUAUCUUCUUCCGCAUGGAAGAAGAUUGAAAGACGGCUCUGCUGUCACGUAUAGAUGACCUUGCGGUGCAUUAGUUAGUUGGUGGGGUAAUGGCCUACCAAGACGAUGAUGCAUAGCCGACCUGAGAGGGGGAUCGGCCACAUUGGGACUGCGACACGGCCCAAACUCCUACGGGAGGCAGCAGUAGGGAAUCUUCCGCAAUGGGCGAAAGCCUGACGGAGCAAUGCCGCGUGAGUGAAGAAGGCCUUCGGGUCGUAAAACUCUGUUAUAAGAGAAGAACGAAUUGUAGAGUAACUGCUACAGUCUUGACGGUAUCUUAUCAGAAAGCCACGGCUAACUACGUGCCAGCCGCCGCCGUAA
rnacentral:rRNA from 1 species